rnacentral:ncRNA from 2 species
UUCAGGUGUCCGUUGGCCAUUGGCUGCGGGAGAAUCGGGAAGACGGUGUAACUCCGUCGCGUGCCCAACGCUGUAAGGACGAUGCCUCGCGCAAAUAUUAGGUUUCCUAUCCCCGUGGCCGCAGCAGCAUCAGCAGCAACGCCACCCCAGCAAACCCAAUGCCCGCCAGGAAGGUGG